rnacentral:rRNA from 1 species
AUACGUAUGUCGCAAGCGUUAUCCGGAUUUAUUGGGCGUAAAGCGCGUCUAGGCGGCUUAGUAAGUCUGAUGUGAAAAUGCGGGGCUCAACCCCGUAUUGCGUUGGAAACUGCUAAACUAGAGUACUGGAGAGGUAGGCGGAACUACAAGUGUAGAGGUGAAAUUCGUAGAUAUUUGUAGGAAUGCCGAUGGGCAAGCCAGCAUACUGGACCGAUACUGACGCUAAAGCGCGAAACCGUGCGUAGCAAACAGGAUUAGAUGCCCUGGUAGUCCACGCCGUAAACGAUGAUUGCUAGGUGUUGGGGGUCGAACCUCAGCGCCCAAGCUAACGCGAUAAGUAAUCCGCCUGGGGAGUACGUACGCAAGUAUGAAACUCAAAUGAAUUGACGGGG